GACAGGCAAUCUGGAGAGUGUCAAAUAAUUUUUGACCACCGAAGGGGCACACGGAUAAUCGUUCAUCCGUAAAUCUCUCAGGUAAAAGGACAGAGGGGCGGAG
rnacentral:ncRNA from 2 species